rnacentral:rRNA from 1 species
CCUACGGGAGGCAGCAGUGAGGAAUAUUGGUCAAUGGACGGAAGUCUGAACCAGCCAUGCCGCGUGCAGGAAGACGGCUCUAUGAGUUGUAAACUGCUUUUGUACAAGGGUAAACCUGAAUACGUGUAUUUAGCUGAAAGUACUGUACGAAUAAGGAUCGGCUAACUCCGUGCCAGCAGCCGCGGUAAUACGGCGGAUCCAAGCGUUAUCCGGAUUUAUUGGGUUUAAAGGGUGCGUAGGCGGAUUGAUAAGUUAGAGGUGAAAUGUCCGAGCUUAACUCGGGACUUGCCUCUAAUACGGUUGAUCUAGAGAGUAGAUGCGGGAGGCGGAAUGUAUGGUGUAGCGGUGAAAUGCUGAGAGAUCAUACAGAACACCGAUUGCGAAGGCAGCUUACCAAUCUAUAUCUGACGUUGAUGCUCGAAAGUGUGGGUAUCAAACAGGAUUAGAUACCCUUGUAGUC